rnacentral:rRNA from 1 species
GACGAACGCUGGCGGCGUGCUUAACACAUGCAAGUCGAGCGGUAAGGCCCUUCGGGGUACACGAGCGGCGAACGGGUGAGUAACACGUGGGUGAUCUGCCUUGCACUCUGGGAUAAGCCUGGGAAACUGGGUCUAAUACCGGAUAUGACCUCCGAUCGCAUGGUUGGGGGUGGAAAGAUUUAUCGGUGCAAGAUGAGCCCGCGGCCUAUCAGCUUGUUGGUGGGGUAAUGGCCUACCAAGGCGACGACGGGUAGCCGGCCUGAGAGGGCGACCGGCCACACUGGGACUGAGACACGGCCCAGACUCCUACGGGAGGCAGCAGUGGGGAAUAUUGCACAAUGGGCGGAAGCCUGAUGCAGCGACGCCGCGUGAGGGAUGACGGCCUUCGGGUUGUAAACCUCUUUCGACUCCGACGAAGCGAAAGUGACGGUAGGAGUAUAAGAAGCACCGGCCAACUACGUG